UACGUAGGGAGCAAGCGUUGUCCGGAAUCAUUGGGCGUAAAGCGCGCGUAGGUGGCUUCGUAAGUCCGUUGUGAAAGUCAAAGGCUCAACCUUUGAAAGCCGAUGGAUACUGCGGAGCUAGAGUACGGAAGAGGCGAGUGGAAUUCCUGGUGUAGCGGUGGAAUGCGCAGAUAUCGGGAGGAACACCGGUGGCGAAGGCGGUUCUCUGGGCCUGUGCUGACGCUGAGGAGCGAAAGCGUGGGGAGCGAACAGG
rnacentral:rRNA from 1 species